GAAAUAAAGAAGUCAGUGUACAUUUGAGAAAAAGUACAGAAGGAAUGUUAGUUCUCGUUUCAUCAAAUGCAAACAUACAGCAAGUUUGAAAGCAACAAAACACAUCUGCCCGGCUUAUAAAGUCGACGAGAAGUUAUCAUCCGUGAUUUUUGAACUUUCAACGGCAGCUCUGCACAAGCUCGAAACAAAAGACAUCUAUAACUCGAGGGCAAGUUGAGGAUCGGUGUGGGUGUGUACAGCUGUAGGCAGAGGUUUGCAAGUGUUGCGAGCGAAGUAGCGAGAAUCGAGUGAGGUAAUUCGGGAGAAAGUUUCUGCGUGUGAGAGGAAAGCGCGCGCAGGCGGCUUUUCAGUGUACACACCACAAGGCCUACACGUGUGCGCGCUCUCGCUGUUGGAGCUUGGAGUAGGAGCGCGCGGAGGAGAAGAUAGGACGCCCCCGAGAGCGCACGGCGUCGCGACGUUCGACUGUACAGUUCCCAUCAGACGGCUUCUCGAGAUGGCAGGAUUCGCUCCCGCUCUCAUAGCUUCAGUCCUUCCUCCGACUCCGUCCUGGCACGUCACCCUCGUGGUAUCUCAUCCCCUCGUCUAUCCUACAAUUCUGUCCAUCCCCGGUAAACUGACAUAAACAAAGGCUAAUGUUACUCGUACUUGUACUACUCACAGCUGAUUUUCAUUCUAACUUUUUCACUUGAAUUUACAUUUAUUAUUUUUUAGGCAGUACACGUAAGCGUAAAGCCCAGAAAAAAAAUAACCGUCAAACAAAAAUGCACUUGGAAGAAACAAAUCCUCUCUAUAUCAUCUCCUUGAAACAUUAUCUUUGAAUCUGUCACGUGCUCGGCGAGUCGAAUGGGACUAGUUUCUCGAUUGCUAGGAAUGGAUUGAGUACUGAAAUAAUUAUCUAAUACAUUCGGUAUCUAUUAUAAAGAUACUGUUCCGUACGAGGUGGCGAGGCCCAACGAACAAUAGCGUCAAUCCACAUCGGGAGAACGCACGUGAUCGUUUUCAAAAGAAGAGAACAAGGCGAGCAGCCGAGCUUGUACGAGAGGGCUUCAGAUCUUCCAGAAGGAUUGCCCGGAUACUUUCUCUAUGCGGUUUCGUGAUCGCCAACUGAUUAGAAAAGGCCUUGACAUCUCGAAAUAAACCAUAACUUUUACGACUUGUUAACUUUGACAUCAAGAUUCUGAACUUUGAAAAGAAAACUAAUUA